UACUGAAGGAGAGAAAAAGAGAGGGUGGGGAACUUUGAAGAAGAGCAAAUUAGUUCAGCAGCGUAGAGUGCUCCCGGCUUUCCCAGGGACCCAGAGUUGAAUUCCCCACACCCACAUGCCCACAUAGGAAGUGAGUCGGAAUAAAGUAGCAUCCCUGACUUGGGAGGCGGGGUGAAGCUUCUGUCACCCAGGUAACCAAACCUGACCAGAGGACCCAACCAGACGAUCAAGAUCCGAGAGCAAUAGAAAGGUAACUAAUACAGAGACCAAAUUCACAUCUGGGUAAGCAAGA
rnacentral:lncRNA from 1 species